UGAUAUUUGGCCCUCUUCCAGACAGGCGCUACAUAGUUUUGUCCCUUGUUUUUUUCUUUCAGCUUUCAGGGUGGCAUGCACUUUGGAUUCAAGAUUUCAACUUUUGACAACGGAACAAAACUAGAAUUUGAAUAAUAAAUAGUAAUUAAAAAAUACUUGAAUGAGCAAUCUUAAAUCAUGAAUUCUUGAAAUGGCGGGCUACCACUUGGGAAACAGAUUUUGAUAUUCUAGGAAAUGUCAUUUAAAUCGUAUUUUAGCAUAAAACAAAAAGAAAAUUAGUUUGUUUGUUGUGUAAGAUAUAGAGGAUAUUUGUUUUUUGUUUGUGUUUUUUAAUGAAAUUUUAUUGCACCGAGUGAGCUUUAAAAACAGUAUUCAAGAAAUAUGAAUUCAAAAUCAUGAAAUAUAACUUGUCAUGAAAUCUUUGUACUCUGGAGAGGAUUUUACUCUUUUCAUGUGUUUCUCAAACGGGUCUGCAGCUAAGGUCUUCAUGCAGGGAUCACACACCGCUUUUCAUGGAAUGGCACGGAAUUAAGUGUCAUAUAUUGAAGGCAGGACAUUACUUUUAACAUUUGAAAGAUCAAACUAUAAAUAGUCAAAUCACGCAAAAACAAUGUAAAAACAUUAACAUUGUAAGCUGUAAGAAAUAAACAAAAUUGCAUCAAUUUGGAUAUUUACGAAAUACUAGGGUGCCGCCAUUUUGAAUUUUUAUCGUAUUGAAAACAGGUGCGCGUGACGUAAUUACCCCACUUCCGAUUUCCCUUUCACGUACAAAAAAUAGAAGCGGUAAUUUUAUAUCGUACAAGAAAAAAAUGGCGAAAAAUAAUGUUGGUCUUCUUCCGUACAAUUUUGAGCCAGAAUAUGAUUCUUCAGAGCUUCUUAAAAUCUGGGACAUAAAUUAUCUUAUGUCCCAGAUAAAAUCCAAAAUCAAAUUAGUGCUCGCCAUUUUUUUAAGCCAAUCACCGACGAGGAUUUUUCAAAUUUUCAGGUUUCAAAUCUUAAUAGAACAGAUUUUAUAUAAACUGGACGUUUUAUAUUAUAAAACGCAAGUGGUCGGAGCACUAAGCCGGUUAGAUUGCAUAUUAGAUGUUAAUUCUUCGUAAAUAAGAAAGCUACAGUCGCUUCGCAAGCUCCGCUCCUUUUUAGCUUUCUUAUUUAAGAAGAACACCCAAUAUGCACUCUAACCUAUACUUAAUGAGCAAACAUUGCAACGAAAUGAAUUGUUUUAAAGAGUUUUUAAUCAUUGCGAGAAAAACGCUUGCAAAGUCACGCGAGUUUUUAUGUCUUAGUUCUCCUAAAGCUGGAAGUGUGGAAAUAAAUUGAAAAAAAGAUCAAUUUUUUUUUUUGGACAGGCCUUCUCAGUUUCCACACGAUACAGUAAACAUGUACUGUUUUCCCCAAAAUCUAUAUUUAGAAUAAAUGAACUGUGUAAACUCAGGAGUCAGGUCAGCGAGUAAACACAUGUAGAUUUACGUCAGUUCUAUGUUACUGCAUUUUUGGAGGUUCACAUCUGCGGAUAUUUCUAAAUUCAAAAUUUCACCAUUUCAUGUUUAAUUUUGAAUUCUGCUUAAGCCGGUGUUAGGGGGCGUGGACGGUAGUUUGCACUUGACAGUACCGUCCAUGAACAGGCUCAAUCAAACCAAGUCUGCAACAUUUUCAAUUGUGUUGUGUUGGACUCUCUUUAGGGAUUCUUAUUUUCUCUAUUUUAAAUAAAAGUUAAGGUAAGUGCAUCUUUUAUUAUUUAUGCUUGAUCUAUUAAUUUUUGUUCAUUAUUUUUUCCCUGAUAUGUUGAAUAAUCAUCGUAUUUUUUUUUACCUGUAACAAUUAAAUAAAUGGGACAAUGACACUUGAACUGGUUUAUAAAUCAGAAAACAUGGCACGCAUCUAGGUCAGGUCAUGACAGACAAUUUUUUCCUACAUUGUUUAUUGCACUCGAUAAAUGUAUUUGUCAUGGUCUUUAUAGAAAUUUAUUGUUAAUUUUUAAAGACAAUUGAUUAGAUUACAAAAUAGAUUAAAGUCCAGGCUGCAAUGAAAAUAUUAAACAAGUGAUAAAACAAAACAUUUUUGUUAAAAUUUUUCUACAAUAGACAUCACUGGGACAAAAAUGUAACUGGACACAUAACAUAUUUUGAAAUUUGUUUUCAAUGAAAUAGCUUGAUAUACAUGUAGAUCUACAUCAAGUAGAUUUAUACUGUAUAAAUUAUUUCUGAAAAGUCAAUGUAAAUUUUAAAGGAAAUAGAAUCUUUAUCAUAUAUGACAAGGCUACUGUACAGUACAGUACUGUAAUUAUUGACAAAUGAAUUUCUAUUACAAUUCAAGGUCCAAUUUAGUAAAGAAAAUGUUAUCCCUGUACUGCAUGCUGCUUUUGAAAUACAUUAAAUAGAUGUAGUACUGCUAUUGAAGAUGUCACCAUAGAUAAAUAUCAAAAUGCAUUUAUUAUUAUUAUCCUUUUGGUAGUAUCUACAAUAAUCAUAUAUAUAUCAUGAAUACCACAUACAUGUAGCUUAUUCUACCAGCAGGGCUUCCAUUAAGGUUCCAAACAUUGACAGUCAAAGACUGCAAAAUAUUUGUCAUUGAAAGUCACAUUAUAGGUAAAAAAGGAAAAGCAUAACAUUUUUAAAGCCAAAAUCAAAGAGUAAAUGACUCCUAAACUUCCACUAACAGAAGCCCUACUACCAGGGUAUUUCUAUCAUUUAUGAGCCAGUACUUUUUUGCUGAUGGAAUAUUUUGUGUUGUAAUUUUAGGUCAGCCAACAUACAUUUAAGAUUUUAAAGUUGGUAAUGGAGCCAUAUUCUUCAAGACCACAAGGAAAUGUACUGAAAACAUAGAUAGUUCACCUAUUUGCUGAUGAAUAUACUAAACUAUUGCUGGAAAUGAGGCACAAUGUGUGACAUCUAUGCACUAUUGAGCACCAGGGUUAUGGAGUAAAAAAGACAACCACUUAUCAACAGUUACUGUACAGUAUAGUAUUGGUCAAGAUAAAAAACACUUCAAUUGGGAUGGCAUGUGAGAAGUCAAUGACUUGUAGAAGACCUAUGUUUGAGAGUAUACCAAAGUGAAUUACAAUCUCAUAGAAUUUAUAUCUUCAUAAGUAUACCUGAAAAAGCUGAAAACUGCAGUGGCAGAUGCUACAAUAGUUUUACUUAAUUGUGAAACAA